rnacentral:rRNA from 1 species
GACGAACGCUGGCGGCGUGCUUAACACAUGCGAGUCGAACGGAAAGGCCCUGCUUUUGUGGGGUGCUCGAGUGGCGAACGGGUGAGUAACACGAGAGUAACCUGCCCUUGACUUUGGGAUAACUUCAGGAAACUGGGGCUAAUACCGGAUAGGAGCUCCUGCUGCAUGGUGGGGGUUGGAAAGUUUCGGCGGUUGGGGAUGGACUCGCGGCUUAUCAGCUUGUUGGUGGGGUAGUGGCUUACCAAGGCUUUGACGGGUAGCCGGCCUGAGAGGGUGACCGGCCACAUUGGGACUGAGAUACGGCCCAGACUCCUACGGGAGGCAGCAGUGGGGAAUAUUGCACAAUGGGCGGAAGCCUGAUGCAGCAACGCCGCGUGCGGGAUGACGGCCUUCGGGUUGUAAACCGCUUUCGCCUGUGACGAAGCGUGAGUGACGGUAAUGGGUAAAGAAGCACCGGCUAACUACGUG